CAGCCCCUCCGCAAAGGCUUAAGAGCUUCCGUGCUUACGGGACCCACUGAGGCCAAUGGGAUAAAUCCUCGAGACCCCCAUACUUCGGGCUUUCAGCUCCCUACCCACCUCCCAGCCCACUCAGCCUUACAGGCCCGAACAAACUGCCCCAGACCAUCUGGACAAGAGAAGGGAAGGAGCCAGCUCUGCCCUGCCCUGGCUUCCAAGGACAAAGUCAGCCCUGGAGCAUGCACUGCAGGGACAGCUGCUGGAUGACAUGGAACAGUCCAAAGACACAGGAGCCCAGAUGAGAAGCAGCAACAGACUUGGAGGGACAAAUAUCCUCCGGUUUGGGGGUGCAGGCCCAGCCUGCAAGUUCCCACACCUGACAGGCGCUCCUCCCCUGCCCUGUGGCCCCAGAGAAAGCCCCUGCUCUGCUGAGUUCAGCGCCGCCCUGCCCUGCAGCCCCGGCAGUGCCAGCCCCUCCCGCCCAGGCUCGCCAUCCUCUGGUGACAACGUACAAAGGGCCACUUCAGUACACAGCCUCAGCUCUAUCUCCAGCCUGGCGGGCUGAGCGGAGCGGGGGUACGGGGAAAUGGAAGGGAGGGUGCUCCCCGCCCUUCCCCAUCCUUUGGGGUCUUCUCUAGCAUUGGGGACUUUGUCCCAGGCAUUGUGCCCCGGGUGGCAGUGGAGGGGUUGUUGGCUGGCAGAGGCUCUCAUGCACCAGGUGGCAGGUGGAGGUCUGGUCCAAGAGUCCUAGGCAGUGGGGAGCGGAUGCUGUUCCCCCGGCACCUACCCAUGUGUACAGGGCAGCAGGUGGUGGGCACACUUGCAUGCUCAGGUGGCCCAGUGCCAGACGGAGUGAGGGACAGCGAGGUGCAGACCUGGCAGGAAUGAUCUGGGCUGGGCAGCAAGGAGGGCAGUGGGCAUGGGCUUUGGGUCACACCAGGCCUGGCUUUCUGGCCUGAGACCCUCUGUGGCAAACGAGGUGAAACUCAAAUCGCUGUCCCAACAACCUGAGCUAGUAACCUGUGACUCAAGCCUGGCACCAAGGGACUGACGCUCCGAUGACGUUCCCAACACUCCCCCUUCUGGGCCCCUCCCCACCCAUCACCAAGGCUUGUCCGUCCCACUGCCCGCACUUCCCAAAUCUGGGCCCCUCCCCACCCACCUGCCCCCUUCUGGGCCCCUCCCCACACCACCAAGGCAGUCAGUCCCACUGCCCGCACUUCCCAAAUCUCCCAACCCCAAGCCUACCGCUCACCGGAAUGGCAGCAGCUUCCUCAAUGGGCCCCCAACCCGGCCCCCAUGAGCCAAGCGAAAGCCACAUCUGAUGCUGCCCCUCCCAGCUUGGAACCGCUGCCCUCAGGAGAAAGUCCAAGUCCCUCAAGGAGGCACAGAAGUUUCUGUGUAAUCUCACCCUUCAAUCUCCGUGCCUGUUCCUGGAGGAUUCGGCUGAGCUGCACUUCUCCAGGCCUCCCUGACCCCAGCCUACUCCCCAGAACCCCUUGUCCCACACAAGGGCU
rnacentral:lncRNA from 1 species